GGGGCUGUAGCUCAGCUGGGAGAGCGAUACGUUCGCAACGUAUAGGUCGGCGGUUCGAUCCCGCUCAGCUCCACCG
rnacentral:tRNA from 1 species